GUUAUGCGCAUUCUUUCAGGUGGAUGUAGCAUGUGGGAGGAUUAGAGCUGCAUAUUUCAGAUUCAAGCAUCUGGAUGAUGGAAUAUACGAAGCUGUUGCAGGAAGUGACUUUGUCCUUACUAGAGUUGCAUUUCGAGACAACUCUUUAAAGUACUACAUAAAUGACCGUGGAAGUAAUGUUACAGAGGUCAUUAAGAAAUUGAUAGGAAAAGGAGUGGACUUGGACAACAAUCGGUUUUUGAUUCUUCAGGUGGGUGAUGGCUGAAAAAGGCCUAUUUACUAGUGAAAAAAAAUAUCAUACCGUUAAAAUAUAUCUUCUCUUUCAAUUCUUUAUCAUUGAAAUUUCAGGGUGAAGUCAAGCAAAUUUCUCUAAUGAAGCCAAAGAUUUGUAUUUUCAGCAUUAUUGUAAUUGUAAUUGUAAUUGUAAUUGUAAU